UACCAUGCUGAAUAUACCGGUUCUCGUUAGAUCACCGAAGUCAAGCAUCAUUGGGCGCGGUCAGUACUUGGGUGGGUGACCACCUGGGAACACCGCGUGCUGUU
rnacentral:rRNA from 1 species